rnacentral:piRNA from 1 species
UAGAACCUUCACAGGACCUAGGGCCUCUCU